UACGGAGGGGGCUAGCGUUGUUCGGAAUUACUGGGCGUAAAGCGCACGUAGGCGGCUUUGUAAGUUAGAGGUGAAAGCCCAGGGCUCAACCCUGGAAUUGCCUUUAAGGCUGCAUCGCUUGAACAUCGGAGAGGUAAGUGGAAUUCCGAGUGUAGAGGUGAAAUUCGUAGAUAUCAAGCGGAACACCGGUGGCGAAGGCGGCCUUCUGGACAGUGACUGACGCUGAGACGCGAAAGCGUGGGGAGCAAACAGG
rnacentral:rRNA from 1 species